GCGAACGCUGGCGGCAGGCUUAACACAUGCCAGUCGAGCGGGCACUUUCGGGUGUCAGCGGCGGAUGGGUGAGUAACGCGUGGGAACGUGCCCUCUGGUUCGGAAUAACUCAGGGAAACUUGGGCUAAUACCGGAUACGCCCUUUUGGGGAAAGGCUUGCUGCCGGAGGAUCGGCCCGCGUCUGAUUAGCUAGUUGGUGAGGUAACGGCUCACCAAGGCGACGAUCAGUAGCUGGUCUGAGAGGAUGAUCAGCCACACUGGGACUGAGACACGGCCCAGACUCCUACGGGAGGCAGCAGUGGGGAAUAUUGGACAAUGGGCGCAAGCCUGAUCCAGCCAUGCCGCGUGAGUGAUGAAGGCCUUAGGGUUGUAAAGCUCUUUUAUCCGGGACGAUAAUGACGGUACCGGAGGAAUAAGCCCCGGCUAACUUCGUG
rnacentral:rRNA from 1 species